rnacentral:rRNA from 1 species
UACGAAGGGGCUAGCGUUGCUCGGAAUCACUGGGCGUAAAGGGCGCGUAGGCGGAUCUUUAAGUCGGGGGUGAAAGCCCAGGGCUCAACCCUGGAAUUGCCUUCGAUACUGGAGAUCUUGAGACCGGAAGAGGUAAGUGGAAUGCUUGGUGUAGAGGUGAAAUUCGUAGAUAUCAAGCGGAACACCGGUGGCGAAGGCGGCCUUCUGGACAGUGACUGACGCUGAGACGCGAAAGCGUGGGGAGCAAACAGGG